ACCCUAUUUUAGGUGAUGGCUCCUAGAAGAAGGGAAGAUCACAUGACCACCACUUUCCUGAAUGAAUGAAGGCUGAUGUGGGAAUCCCAUGGUUCACCUCUCUAUUUAUACACACGAUGUCACCACAAGAAGGGAAGCAUUAUGCCAGGAGCCAGAAAACAUCUACUCUUGAGCCAACUCCCUCUUUUCCUAAGGAUCUCUGAUGAGCAAGGGUCAGAGGGAAAGACCCCCCACCCCUUUUUUAAAUCAUGUGUCGUGUAUAGGGUUUGAGCUGAUGUGUACAGAUGUUCACAGCUAAUUCCUCCUUCUGUCCUUUGUCCACUGUGGGUGCCUGCUGGUUGGCUUAGUUUCCUACCACUUCCCACCUUCCGUGGCCUCUCUCAUGCCACACUAAUCGCUCCACGGACAUUUCCGAUUCCUUUGCAGACGGCUAUGGUAACUAUGGUAACCAGUCCCGUGAGAGUCCCCUCUGGUUGAAUUGCUCCCUUAAAGUGGAACAGACGCUAAUUCUGAUGAAGAAGACUUCGCUAUCAGCCUGUGCCCUGCCAGAGCUCUGGUCAGUGGCUGCCCAGCUUGCUAAGAUGUCAUUUCUGUCAUGAGGUUAUUCCCACAGGAACCUCAGUACCUCUAUGAAAGGAUGGUGAUGUGAAUUGCUCUCACUUCCUUUUACUGGGUGUUAUAGAGAGGACGAGAGCCAGGACGCGUAGAGACACAGGCACACAGAGAGCAAGGCUCCCAGAGCCAUGCUUCAUCAGCUGUUGGAACAAGAAAAGGAAUUCAAGUGAACAGGUCCCCAACUUACUUACUUCCAUUUUGUUAAUGUGGUUUCUCAGUUAUUUAUGCUUACAGUUUU
rnacentral:lncRNA from 1 species